ACACCAUUCGGCGCAAUCGUUUAUUCUCCUCUUGAGCUUUUUCAGCAACUCUUUUGAGGCGUUUAUUCUCAGCUCGAUUGGUGAUCUUCAACGGUGCCUCCGGUAUCUUUGGAAGCAGCUCUUCAGGAAUCUUGUGCCGUUUGAUAUACUUAAUCGAGGCAUAGUACUUCAUUUCCCUGCCUUUCAAUUCCUCCUCGGGCCAUUUGAGUUUUUGUGGACGGCACAUGUCCCACAUCGAUUUGAUGGUGAGAAUGGAAUCUUCAUGGCCUCGGCUUCCA
rnacentral:lncRNA from 1 species